rnacentral:tRNA from 1 species
GGGAAUGUGGCUUAGUGGUAGAGCGCUUGCCUAGCAUGCAUGAAGCCCUAGGUUCAAUUCCUCAGUACCA